rnacentral:rRNA from 1 species
AUUGAACGCUGGCGGCAUGCCUUACACAUACAAGUCGAACGGUAACGGGCCUUCGGGUGCCGACGAGUGGCGAACGGGUGAGUAAUGUAUCGGUACGUACCUUUCAGUGGGGGAUAACGUAGCGAAAGUUACGCUAAUACAGCAUCUUCUGUGAGCAGGAAAGCAGGGGAUCGCAAGACCUUGCGCUGAUUGAGCGGCCGAUAUCAGAUUAGCUAGUUGGUGAGGUAAAGGCUCACCAAGGCGACGAUCUGUAGCGGGUCUGAGAGGAUGAUCCGCCACACUGGAACUGAGACACGGUCCAGACUCCUACGGGAGGCAGCAGUGGGGAAUUUUGGACAAUGGGGGCAACCCUGAUCCAGCCAUGCCGCGUGAGUGAAGAAGGCCUUCGGGUUGUAAAGCUCUUUCGGCCGGGAAGAAAUCGUAUGGGUUAAUACCCUGUGCGGAUGACGGUACCGGCAUAAGAAGCACCGGCUAACUACGUGCCAGCAGCCGCCGUAACAC